GGCGGCGGCGGCGGCGGCGGUGGCGGCGGCGGCGGCGUGGACUGUCCAGCAGAGGCAGGGCGGCCUAGGCACCGAGGCUGGGGUCUCCGCAGUUCCACCCGCAGGUUCGGGCUCCGCGGCUUCCCGCGACCGUUAAUCACUGUGCUAUUUCCCAUUCUGGGGCAUGAGCUACGGACGGCCUUACAUCUGAAGCAAUAGAGUACCGAGCAGAACUGAGGAAAGAUGCAGAACCACAGCCACGGACCAUCUGAUGAUAUUUUCACACUCUGGACCACAUGAUGACAGUGCUACGGCCUGUUCUCCUGCAGUUCUGACAGAUACAUCUGUGGAACCACCACCUAAAACAAAAUAAGAGAACAGUUCCUUCAUGUUCCAUCCCAUCAAUUUCCUUCCCCCGGUCAAGCAGCAUUUUCUGAUUUCUAUCACCAUGGAUUUGUUUUGUCUGUUCUUGGAUUCCAUGUAAGUGAAAUCAUACGAUACGUAUUCUAGUGGAAUUGCUUGGUCAUGGGGUAUAAGAAACCACCAAACAGUUCUUCAAAGUGGUUAUAUCAUUUUACACUCCCACGAGUGUGUACGAAUGUUCUAGUUGCUUCAUAUCUUUACCAGAUGUUAGUCUUUUGUUUUAGUAAUUUUCCUGUGUCUGAAAUGGUGGUAUCUCAUUGUGAUUUUAACUUGCAU